rnacentral:rRNA from 1 species
GUGGGGAAUAUUGGACAAUGGGCGAAAGCCUGAUCCAGCCAUGCCGCGUGUGAAGAAGGUCUUCGGAUUGUAAAGCACUUUAAGUUGGGAGGAAGGGCAGUAAGUUAAUACCUUGCUGUUUUGACGUUACCGACAGAAUAAGCACCGGCUAACUUCGUGCCAGCAGCCGCGGUAAUACGAAGGGUGCAAGCGUUAAUCGGAAUUACUGGGCGUAAAGCGCGCGUAGGUGGUUGUGUAAGUUGGAGGUGAAAUCCCCGGGCUCAACCUGGGAACUGCCUCCAAAACUGCAUGACUAGAGUACGGUAGAGGGUAGUGGAAUUUCCUGUGUAGCGGUGAAAUGCGUAGAUAUAGGAAGGAACACCAGUGGCGAAGGCGACUACCUGGACUGAUACUGACACUGAGGUGCGAAAGCGUGGGGAGCAAACAGGAUUAGAUACCCUAGUAGUCC